rnacentral:ncRNA from 2 species
UAUAUUGGGGUUGUGACCGGUGCACCUAUCGGGUGCUGAAAAGGGAACCCUGUGCGAAUCAGGGACUGCCCCGCAGCGGUGAGCAGGAACGACCGCCACAGCAAGCACUGGGCUCCGGCCUGGGAAGCGUGGCCAGUAGGACAGGCGGCAGAUGGUGCCGCCCCGCCUGCAAGUCCGAAGACCUGCCGGUCAUCCGCUUUCAGG